GACGAAUGCUGGCGGCGUGCUUAACACAUGCAAGUCGAACGGAAAGGCCCUGCUUUUGUGGGGUGCUCGAGUGGCGAACGGGUGAGUAACACGUGAGUAACCUGCCCUUGACUUUGGGAUAACUUCAGGAAACUGGGGCUAAUACCGGAUAGGAGCUCCUGCUGCAUGGUGGGGGUCGGAAAGUUUCGGCGGUUGGGGAUGGACUCGCGGCUUAUCAGCUUGUUGGUGGGGUAGUGGCUUACCAAGGCUUUGACGGGUAGCCGGCCUGAGAGGGUGACCGGCCACAUUGGGACUGAGAUACGGCCCAGACUCCUACGGGAGGCAGCAGUGGGGAAUAUUGCACAAUGGGCGGAAGCCUGAUGCAGCAACGCCGCGUGCGGGAUGACGGCCUUCGGGUUGUAAACCGCUUUCGCCUGUGACGAAGCGUGAGUGACGGUAAUGGGUAAAGAAGCACCGGCUAACUACGUG
rnacentral:rRNA from 1 species